rnacentral:rRNA from 1 species
UUUGACAUGGCAGGAAUCCCGAAGAGAUUUGGGAGUGCUCGAAAGAGAACCUGCACACAGGUGCUGCAUGGCUGUCGUCAGCUCGUGUCGUGAGAUGUUGGGUUAAGUCCCGCAACGAGCGCAACCCUUAUCCCUAGUUGCCAUCAGGUAAAGCUGGGAACUCUGGGGAGACUGCCGGUGAUAAACCGGAGGAAGGCGGGGAUGACGUCAAGUCCUCAUGGCCCUUACAUCCCGGGCUACACACGUGCUACAAUGGCAGGUACAGAGGGCUGCGAAGCCGCGAGGUGGAGCGAAUCCCAGAAAACCUGUCUCAGUCCGGAUUGAAGUCUGCAACUCGACUUCAUGAAGGCGGAAUCGCUAGUAACCGCGAAUCAGCAGGUCGCGGUGAAUACGUUCCCGGGCCUU